rfam:Sphingobium ummariense RL-3 contig134, whole genome shotgun sequence.
UGAGGAUGCCUUUCAGGCAUCCUCUCCUAAAACUAUGGCCGGCCGUUGUGCCGGCCUUUUUGUGUGGCCGC